AACGCAGCGAAAUGCGAUAAGUAAUGUGAAUUGCAGAAUUCAGUGAAUCAUCGAAUCUUUGAACGCACAUUGCGCCCCUUGGUAUUCCGGGGGGCAUGCCUGUUCGAGCGUCAUUUCAACCCUCAAGCACAGCUCGGUAUUGAGUCUAUGUCAGUAA
rnacentral:rRNA from 1 species